GACGAACGCUGGCGGCGUGCCUAAUACAUGCAAGUAGAACGCACAGUUUAUACCGUAGCUUGCCACACCAUACACUGUGAGUUGCGAACGGGUGAGUAACGCGUAGGUAACCUGCCUGGUAGCGGGGGAUAACUAUUGGAAACGAUAGCUAAUACCGCAUAAUAUUAAUUAUUGCAUGAUAAUUGAUUGAAAGAUGCAAUUGCAUCACUACCAGAUGGACCUGCGUUGUAUUAGCUAGUAGGUGAGGUAACGGCUCACCUAGGCGACGAUACAUAGCCGACCUGAGAGGGUGAUCGGCCACACUGGGACUGAGACACGGCCCAGACUCCUACGGGAGGCAGCAGUAGGGAAUCUUCGGCAAUGGACGAAAGUCUGACCGAGCAACGCCGCGUGAGUGAAGAAGGUUUUCGGAUCGUAAAGCUCUGUUGUAAGAGAAGAACGGGUGUGAGAGUGGAAAGUUCACACUGUGACGGUAUCGUACCAGAAAGGGACGGCUAACUACGU
rnacentral:rRNA from 1 species